rnacentral:rRNA from 1 species
AAUCAACGCUGGCGGCGUGCCUCAGACAUGCAAGUCGAACGAUUAAAGCUCCCUUCGGGGAGUGCAUAGAGUGGCGCACGGGUGAGUAACACGUAAGUAAUCUACCUUUGAGUGGGGAAUAACGUUCGGAAACGGACGCUAAUACCGCAUAAUGCAGCGGCAUCGCAAGAUGACAGUUGUUAAAGGAGCAAUCCGCUUAAAGAGGAGCUUGCGGCAGAUAGCUUGUUGGUAAGGUAACGGCUUACCAAGGCUACGAUCUGUAUCCGGUCUAAGAGGACGGUCGGACACACUGACACUGAAUAACGGGUCAGACUCCUACGGAGGCAGCAGUCGGGAAUUUUGGGCAAUGGGCGAAAGCCUGACCCAGCAACGCCGCGUGAAGGAUGAAGUA